CGGACGGGUGAGUAAUGUAUGGGGAUCUGCCUGAUGGCGGGGGAUAACUACUGGAAACGGUAGCUAAUACCGCAUAACGUCGCAAGACCAAAGAGGGGGACCUUAGGGCCUCGCGCCAUCAGAUGAACCCAUAUGGGAUUAGCUUGUAGGUAAGGUAACGGCUUACCUAGGCGACGAUCCCUAGCUGGUCUGAGAGGAUGAUCAGCCACACUGGGACUGAGACACGGCCCAG
rnacentral:rRNA from 1 species